AGUGUACUAGUAAUAAAUAUAUCAUACGAAAUCUUUUUAUAUUGUAAUUGAAAAUUAACGUGCAUAAUACCUAGUCUACGUUAGAUCGAUCAUUUACGUUAGUCCUCAGGUGUUUGUUGAAAAUUAGUUUAUUAGUAAAUAAUAUACAAGAGAUUCGCAAAGGCAACGAAAUAAUGUGUUAGCUGGAUAUUUUCUAUUAUAAGCUGUCGCGCGGUGUGAGCAUAUUGAGCCGAAUCGCUUUCACUCUGAUCCCAUCUGGUGGAUGGGAUCUCCACAAUUCGACAUGUUGCAUGUAAAAACAAAGCAAUUUUUAUUGGCGCUUAAGAUUUCAAUCGAGGCAAUGACACAUGAACAUGCGCUUUGUGUAGCCAGACAAGUAAAAGUUACUCGGUUAUAUGAAAAGGGUUCAGUUCACCAUUUGAAGCUGCAUCAAGAAGGGAAUUUUAUUAUGAAGUAGGAGGAGACUCCCCAGGGAUUCUUCGAAGAUCACGGAUUGGGAUAAUAUUCUUUAAAACAAUAUGCGUGCUUUUUUGUAAGUUUACAUUCUACACACGACUAUGUUUUACCAUUCCACGUUUCCAUUAACGCAAAUCCCCAUGUCAUUAUUUGAACUUUAAAAAUUAGAAAAGAAAAAGAAAAAAAGAUAUAUGAAUAUUUUUUGGCGUGCAGACAUAUUUCCACAAUUAUCACAUUUAUUAUUUUAAUGAUACGGUCAAAAGUAUAAAUCAGAAGUUCCAACUUUUUUCAUUCCAACUUUUUUAGGACGUUCUUUAGCUUUAAAUAAAGUAUAUUGCAUGUUUUGCCAGUAUAUAUUUAUACAAUUCUGUUGAAUUGACAAAAGACAGAAUGACAAAUGGCAAUCAGGUGUGUUUUAAUAUAUAUAAACACGCCGUUUAUUUAACAUACAUUUUAUCUCGUUUAAAGCAAAGCCAUGCAAUAAAAAAAUUUCUUGACUUUGUGAUCUGUUUAUUGAAUGAAGAAGUGACAGAAUAUUAAAAAAUUACGCAUGAGAGCGAUAGUAAAAAAAUUUUUUACAUGGUGCGAAAAAUCGAGAAAUAUGAUUUUGUAGAUUAAUUAAAAAAAAUUUUUUUUACGGAAAUUCUAUGAAGUGAGUACCUACAGAAUGAAAUAUAGCGUUUACACAUCAAGUUUGAAACACAAGUUAUUUAUAUACAAUCAUUCAGUCUGACAAUGAGAUGUGAUGUAUUGUUAAUUAAAUAUCAUAUUCUGUAUUAUAUAAUAUAUCAUCAAUGACAUUCCGGAUCUUUCUCUGAUCCUGAAUAUGGAUAUACAAUAAUAAGUGUCUGCACGUUUUCAAUUGUUAGCAAGAUUAUUAUAAUCUAUAAUAAUAAUAAGGAUGUUCUCUGAUUGGAAUGUUAAGUAUACAGACUGAGUCUAAGAGGAAGAUUGGUAGUAAAUAUGUAUUCUUUGACGCGAAAUUUAUCAAGGUCCUUUAUUAUUGAAUGUUCCAUUUGAUCAAGAUUAAUUAGUAAUUAUAAUUAGGAACUAAAAAGAUAAUAUUAAAAUGCCAUGUUGAUAUACGUUUAUGUCCUGUAGAAACGAAUCAUGUAGUAGAAGAACUUAAAAACACAAAGUUUUCUGUUUUUAUUGAUGAAAUCAGAUAUUUCGAAUGAAAAAAUGGGUUUCAUGUUUGAUAUGUCAAUCCCGAGACAUUAGAAGUUCAUUCACAAUUAGCACAACUAAUUGAUGUGGAUAUACGGGCAGAUUCUAGUGCAGAGAAAUUAUUUAAUGCAUUUAAAAAUAAAAUGUACAAGCUCGAAAUAGCUUUUUGGAUUAUUAUCGUUUGUCAUGCAAUAAUGUGUCUCAUGACACUUAUUCUUGAAGAAAAAAUUGAAAGAGAUGUGCAAAAAUGUUUUGACGCCAUCAUGUCCAUGUCAUUCUGCCGCAUUAGCAAAUUAUUAAAUUAGAAGUUUAUGAAAUCAGUAUAGUUAGACUGCUACUUGAAGUUUCGUUAAAAAAAAAUCGAACAUAAAAACUACAUCUUUACUACCGAUUUUUCUUCAAAUAGAUCCAGACUAGGGACUCGAUAUAAUAAGAGACUGGCCAUAAGAUAGCCAGUUUUGAUUGGUCCGCCAGUUUUGUCAAAACCAAGAGAAAGAGAUAUAUCUAAGAGAGAAAGAGAAAGCGAUAUGAAUGUAUAUCCUUCUCUCUGGCAGGAGUUUGACAAAACUGGCCUUAUGGCCAAUCUCUUAUUAUAGGGUCUCUAAUCCAGACUAGUUAGGCAGUAUUAGUAUCUUUUUAGAAUAAUUAUAAUAAUAUAGUUAUCUUUAACUCUUAACUGAUAUUCGUUCUUAAAAUUCGUAUUUUAAGAGCUACUAUCGUUUUUUUGUAAUUUUUUCACUCUCAUCAAUGUUUUAGUCUCUAUCAUUAAACAGGCGGUUAUGAAUAAAAUGGAAAGUAGCGCAGUUCGAAUACAAAACGUGCUAGAUCCAUUUGAGCAUGAAUUUUAAUUUAUUUGAUCCUGAAUCCAUUAUUUUUCUUUCACACGUCUCAUUCUGCCAUUACUUAUAAACAUUAUUAUAUUAAUAUUUUAUUUUAUUUGUUUUAUUAUCGCGUUUCGUAUAAUAUAUUAAUCUACACUUUAAUAACUAUAGAUUUUUUAAAUAAAAAUAUCUAAUAUCUAAUAUCUCAAAAAUUUACAUGUUAGGCCGAUGAUCCGGCCGAUGACUGAAAUACAUCCUAUUUUGUUUAUUUUACGUAUAUGUUACUUUCCUGAUUGAGUAGUAAAUAUCACAGCACAGUUAAGAGUUAAAGUAUAUUUUAAUAUUAUUUUGGGAUUUAUCUCCUACCAUGAUGAUCGCAUUUAGGCGACAAAAAUUGAAUUUAAAUUUAGUUUCUUGGCAGUAGGAUUAGGAACGUUUAACGCGACUAAUAAAUACAUAUAUACAUGCCUCUGCAUCUUUGUUGAAGAGUUACAUCGCGUACCGUGUAUUUUUAUGAAGCUUAAAAGCGUGCGUACGUAUAGCGUAGCGAAAUGUAAAAGUUAUCGAUUUUCGUGUCCAAUGCAGUUGUUGAAAUGUAUCGAGAUAUUUUGUUACAUAAGUGUACACCGUUGAAACGUGCAAUCGAAGUAUAUACCAACGUGUAUUAGAAAUCUCGAUUUGUACUUCCAUAUUAAAGAUCAGACAAUAAGUUAAGUACAUUCCUAAAUGUUCGCUUGUAACAUUUAUACGUUACGAUAUGAUAUAUACACGCGCGUUUUACACACAUAUCUAAAUAAUAAUGGAUGUAAUCGAAUCCGAUUCGCAUUCCCAGAAGGUAUUCGUGUCCAAUAAACAGCGUGCUCGUUUCAAGUGUUCAACGCACGCAGUUACUUCUCUUUAAAGAUUUAGAAGAGUAUAAAAUAUACAUAUAUAUAUACACGCUCUUUGUUCGAUUUUCCAUAUCUAAACAGCCUUUUUGUUACAUAUAAAUAUCGCUUGAAAAAUUAUAAAGCUUUAAAAGUUUAAAAGCGGGAUGAUAUUGUUACACGAUAUAUCUACUAUAAAAGAAAGAGAGAGAGAGAGAGGGAGAGAGAGCGGGAGAUUUAUACUUAUACAUUAUAUCUCCGUCUUUUACAACUCGACUAAACGUUAUAUUUCGCGUAUCUGCGUAAUGGCAUUUCUUCCACUUUAUUUUAGUCGUCCAAGUAUUCUUAUGCGUACUUUAUUAAGCAAAGGAUCUUAAUAUACGUUUAGAUCGAACUAACAAGGCACGUAACAUUUUUAUCCUUGCACCUUGCAACGACGCACGAUCGGUCCGCGACACGCAGACGCGGUCGUGAACGUCGCGUUUUACAUUACGUUAAAUUUUCGAGUUAUAGAAAGCAGCGUUAGUGUACAUACUUUGUCGCAAACGAAUCAAAAUAGUUUGAUAAGUUUAUCUCUUUGUUGCUACCGCUCUGAUGGUACUGAUGUUUGACGAAACGAUCGGACUGUAGGAUAAGGCUCUAUCGAUGUUAAGAAUGAAAUAUGUAUUACGUUAAGAGACCAAAUGUUGCAUUGACAAAAGACGAUGCUUUGUGCUCCGUCCAAAAAUAAAGCACAUAAAAA